GUUGGAGGAAGCUUCUGCCACGGGCCUCGGCCUGAGGAAAGUCCGAGAGACCAUCCCCACUGCAGAGAUGCAGCUGUCUAGAGGACAGAGCAGUCAACAGAAAGCACUCGUUGGAAAGGCUGCUGAUGGCGUAAAGUGGAAUCCCCUGAAGUGGAAUGCAGAAGGCGGCGUGCCGUAACAAAAUUCGGAUUACUCUCCCCCAAC
rnacentral:RNase_P_RNA from 2 species